rnacentral:rRNA from 1 species
AGCGUCGUGCUUAUACUCUGCCGUCGGGACAGUAGUGAUAUCUUUACAUUCUACGGGAUGUAAAAUAUCGUCAGGUCUCGACGAGUAGGUGGGCCGCGGCGGUGAGCGCAGAAGGACUGGGCGUAGGCCCGUCUGGAGCCGCCGUCGGUGCAGAUCUUGGUGGUAGUAGCAAAUACUCCAGCGAGGCCCUGGAGGACUGACGUGGAGAAGGGUUUCGUGUGAACAGCCGUUGCACACGAGUCAGUCGAUCCUAAGCCCUAGGAGAAAUCCGAUGUUAAUGCAGUGUGUCUUUAUGAAUGCAUUGAUAGUUAUGGAAACUUUUGUACAUUCGCUCUCACCACGCCAAUAAACUGAAUGAAACUAAAGCUAUAUAAAGAAGUGUAGUAAACUACUUCUAUCUACCUCACUGCGAGAGACGAUGUCGUAGACUCUCACUUUGGUUUUAGUGUUCAGUAGUGGCUUGAGAUGUUGAUUGUCGUGUAAAGGCUUGACAUAUCUGAAAUCAUUUUUGUAGAGAAGUAUCACACUCAUUGGGCGAAAGGGAAUCCGGUUCCUAUUCCGGAACCCGGCAGCGGAACCGUUUACAAGUCGGGCCCUCGCAAGAGAGUUCGUCGGGGCAACCCAAAAGGACCUGGAGACGCCGUCGGGAGAUCCGGGAAGAGUUUUCUUUUCUGUAUGAGCGUUCGAGUUCCCUGGAAUCCUCUAGCAGGGAGAUAGGGUUUGGAACGCGAAGAGCACCGCAGUUGCGGCGGUGUCCGGAUCGUCCCCUCGGACCUUGAAAAUCCAGGAGAGGGCCACGUGGAGGUGUCGCGCCGGUUCG